GAAAGGGCUGCUAAUACCGGAUGACAUAAUCCUUACCACGGUUUGGAUUAUCAAAGAGGGCCUCUCCUUGGAAGCUCUUGUUUGGGGAUGAGUUCGCGUACCAUUAGCUUGUUGGUGGGGUAAUGGCCUACCAAGGCUUCGAUGGUUAGCUGGUCUGAGAGGAUGAUCAGCCACACUGGAACUGACACACGGUCCAGACUCCUACGGGAGGCAGCAGUGAGGAAUUUUGCGCAAUGGGGGAAACCCUGACGCAGCAACGCCGCGUGAGUGAUGAAGGCUCUUGGGUCGUAAAGCUCUGUCAAGUGGGAAGAAACCUUCCUUGUUUAAUAAAUAAGGGAAUUGACGGUACCACUGAAGGAAGCACCGGCUAACUCCGUGCCAGCAGCCGCGGUAACACGGGGGGUGCAAGCGUUAUUCGGAAUUAUUGGGCGUAAAGGGCGCGUAGGCGGCCAUUUAAGUCGGGUGUGAAAUCCCGGGGGCUUACCCCGGAACUGCAUCCGAUACUGGGUGGCUUGAGUAUGGGAGAGGGANUGGAAUUCCAGGUGUAGAGGUGAAAUUCGUAAAUAUCUGGAGAACCCCA
rnacentral:rRNA from 1 species